rnacentral:rRNA from 1 species
CCUACGGGUGGCAGCAGUAGGGAAUAUUGCUCAAUGGGGGAAACCCUGAAGCAGCAACGCCGCGUGGAGGAUGAAGGUUUUCGGAUUGUAAACUCCUUUUGUUAGAGAAGAUAAUGACGGUAUCUAACGAAUAAGCACCGGCUAACUGCGUGCCAGCAGCCGCGGUAAUACGGAGGGUGCAAGCGUUAUUCGGAGUAACUGGGCGUAAAGAGCGCGUAGGCGGGAUAGCAAGUCAGAUGUGAAAGCCUAUGGCUAAACCAUAGAACUGCAUUUGAAACUGUUAUUCUAGAGUAGAGGAGAGGUAGGUGGAAUUCUUGGUGUAGGGGUAAAAUGCGUAGAGAUCAAGAGGAAUACUCAUUGCGAAGGCGGCUUGCUGGAACGUAACUGACGCUGAGGCGCGAAAGCGUGGGGAGCAAACAGGAUUAGAUACCCGAGUAGUC